rnacentral:rRNA from 1 species
GUGGAUUAGAUACCCUGGUAGUCCACGCCCUAAACGAUGUCUUCUAGUUGUCGGGUCUUAAUUGACUUGGUAACGCAGCUAACGCGUGAAGUAGACCGCCUGGGGAGUACGGUCGCAAGAUUAAAACUCAAAGGAAUUGACGGGGACCCGCACAAGCGGUGGAUGAUGUGGAUUAAUUCGAUGCAACGCGAAAAACCUUACCUACCCUUGACAUGUCAGGAAGCCUGGAGAGAUCCGGGUGUGCCCGAAAGGGAGCCUGAACACAGGUGCUGCACGGCCGUCGUCAGCU